CGCAACUCAUUUUGCUGUGGUUGCGGCUCUCAGAGCACGCCGGCAGAGAACCAGAGGUAGGAGUAUCCACCGAACUGCCAUGACCUCCCUUAGGCUGCUGUUAGGGUUUGUGUUUGUUAGUGCUAAUAUAGAAGCAUUCUUGGUGGUUAGGCUAAGAGCUAUGCUAACAUCAUUCAUGAUGUCACAGCACCACCCGAACCAGAGCCGUUGUGAUGGAGCUGUGACCGCGGCCGCUGGAGCACACUGGUGGAGCAGACUGGAGAAGCAGACCGGAGGAGCAGACCGAAGGAGCAGACCGGAGUAGCAGACCAGAGUAGCAGACCGGACGAGCAGUCCGGACGAGCAUACUGGACGAGCCGAGAUGCUGAGCCCGGCGGUGCUGCGGGGGUCCCUGCUUCUCAUUAUCUUCUGCUCCCACCCUGGAGCCCCCUCCAUUACCACAAGGUUUCCGACCAUCAGAGACAAGACGUGGAGAGGUCAAAGAUCAUGCCCGCUGGUCCUGGCCCCUCCCCCUCCCUUCUUCCCUCCAUUCUCACGCAAAGAAGAGCUAAUGUCCCCAGGGGCGGGGCCCAGCACCAAGACAAACUCCACGGGUGGGGGAUAA
rnacentral:lncRNA from 1 species